GGUUUCGUGGUGUAGUUGGUUAUCACGUCAGUCUAACACACUGAAGGUCUCCGGUUCGAACCCACCCGGGCGAAGCCA